GACGAACGCUGGCGGCGUGCCUAAUACAUGCAAGUCGAACGCUUCUUUCCUCCCGAGUGCUUGCACUCAAUUGGAAAGAGGAGUGGCGGACGGAUGAGUAACACGUGGGUAACCUACCCAUCAGAGGGGGAUAACACUUGGAAACAGGUGCUAAUACCGCAUAACAGUUUAUGCCGCAUGGCAUAAGAGUGAAAGGCGCUUUCGGGUGUCGCUGAUGGAUGGACCCGCGGUGCAUUAGCUAGUUGGUGAGGUAACGGCUCACCAAGGCCACGAUGCAUAGCCGACCUGAGAGGGUGAUCGGCCACACUGGGACUGAGACACGGCCCAGACUCCUACGGGAGGCAGCAGUAGGGAAUCUUCGGCAAUGGACGAAAGUCUGACCGAGCAACGCCGCGUGAGUGAAGAAGGUGUUCGGAUCGUAAAACUCUGUUGUUAGAGAAGAACAAGGACGUUAGUAACUGAACGUCCCCUGACGGUAUCUAACCAGAAAGCCACGGCUAACUACGUG
rnacentral:rRNA from 1 species